CUGACUGUUGGGAGCAUCCCAACAAUAAAAGAGAAGAGCAGGCAGCGUGUUUGUUGCCAUAAUGAGAUUGAAACUUCCUUCCCGUGGUGGAGCCAUGGAGAGUAAAGGUUUCAUAAACUAAUGGAAGUGACUGGAAGAGGAAUGGAGCCCAUAAAGAAAGCAGUAGUUCUGAACUAGAUAGAUGUUUCCAUAUUGAGCCCUUAAGUUGGGACCUCAAGGAACCAAGGAGCCAGCUGACUCCGUACAUUGGAAUUGUUCUUGAGAGAUUGGCUACUAAAUCAAGUACUUUGCAUGUGGAACUUCAGUGCUACCUACGUAAUGCUUCUAAAGAAGAUUCUUCAACGUUCUGGAUGAGCUAUUUGUCUAAUAACACAUCUGCAGCUGCAUAUCACAGCUUAAUCUCUUGUACUAACAACAUUUGGACUCGUCUCAAAAUGGGAAAGGGUACAGAAAAGAAGAGGAAGUACCUUCCAGGACAUCUAAAUAUUGCCUUUUGCCAUCAUAAUUAUAAGAGCUUCUGGUGGGGGAGGCGCUGGGCAGAAUGGGUAAGUAAAUGAUACCACUGAGUUUGGAUUAUGCCUGACCUUGGUUGAAUCAGUUGUUUUCCACAGACUAAACAAAAAUUUAGUCUUGAUUUAUUUGGCACUUUGAGAAUUUUUUUUUCUUAAAGCCUGGUAGCAAAAAUGGUCAAUCUUAGGAUAAAAUGUCCUCACAUAUCAGCAUAAACUCUACUUAGCAACCACUAAAACCUGAGAGUUAUUAACACUAUUCUCAUCUCAGUUCCAAAGCACAGCAUUGUACCAGGUACUUGGAAGAAAAUUAACUCUAUCCCAGUCACAAGGGCAUGAAGACAGAAGCUUAAGUCUAAAAUGCCACAGCAUACCUCUCAAGCUAAAUGGACAAUUCUACCUGCAAAUUAGCAGCAGAUAGAAUGAGAAAUCUUGUAGCUGAUUCAUAUGAUUCCAGACCUUAAUGUUGAUAUAUUAUUUUAUCAUCUCCCCUUUGCAUUAGUAUCAUGAUGCAAAAUGAAAUUCACAUCAUUUACUACAAAAAACUUUUAAAUCAGGCCUCUUCAGUAGCCCAGAGAGUUGUAUCUUUGAAGGACAGUAUCCACCAAAAUAUGCUUGAAAAGUCUCAGAUAAUGCAAAUUAUGGCACAACCUUUCAUUCUGAAUAGAAGCAAGGGGACAGGAAAAUGGGGUUAGUCUCCAACUGUGUGGAACAAGAUAAUGAGGUGAAAAACACCUCUUUUGUAUGAAACAAAAUGAG